ACCUGGCCCAGCAGCGCUGAUGAGUCCCAGGCUCCGCCCCCGGUCGGAGCCUGAUCCCGCCCAACAGACUGUGCUUACGCAAAGAGAGACAGGCCGGCGGGGAAAGGCAAGGGCAACCCAGCCCCAUUCAGAGGGGAAGAGUCUUCACCUGGCCCAGCAGCGCUGAUGAGCCCCGGCUCCGCCCCCCGCUGGAGCCUGACCCUGCUCACUGGACUCUGCCUGCGCAACGGUGCACUUCUCAGGGCCGCCUUGAGGGGGCGCUGGUCAGGGACUUCGCGGACCCUCAUCCCCCACGGGGCUUGGGGGCCCUCUACACCAACCGGGUUACGGGGUCCUAAGACCCCUACAGGGACCAGGUUCUCAAGCCCGUUUUGGGAACGGGUCCCCUUCCCCCUGGUGGAUACCUGCACCCUCCUCUUGCAAUCACACCCCUAGGGCCAGGCCGUGCCCCCAAAAACGCCCAUGACGGAGCGGCGGGGUCACUGUCACGGGGGGCACCCCCUGGAAGCCACAGACAAGCGGCGACCUCGGCCUCUUCCAAAAUUGCAGGCAGACAGGCCGGCGCGGAAAGCCCCGGGCAACCCAGCCCCACUCAGAGGGGAAGAGUCCUCACCUGGCCCAGCAGUGCUGCUGAGCCUCUGGCUAUGCCCCAGGCUGGAGCUUGACCCCGCCCCCGGACUCUGCCUGCGCAAAGAAGGCCUAUACAAAGAAAGAAGUGAAAACUUGAAGAAGUGAUUAGAGUUGGAAGUUUAAUACCAUUUUAAUGAAGGGAAAAGUUACUGGACAACAAAAGAAGAGUUUUAGGGACCAUAAAUUAUGUGGCUUUUUAGGUUUCCUGGCUCCUUUGGGGCUUAUUGUUUGGAAGAGUCAGUGCAAGUUUGUCAAUAGUAGCCCUGAGUCUACCUAAACUAUUUCGUGGCCAGAAACUGACAGUGAAACAUUUCAACAGAAACCAAGCCCUCCAAAGUGAACUUUCUAAAUGGUGUGCUGAAUCUGAGAAUUUCAACCUUAUUUUUCUGUUGGGUAAAAAUCAUUCUCUUUUAUUGCCCUGUACUCACUUUUAUUUUAUUUU